GAUGAACGCUAGCUACAGGCUUAACACAUGCAAGUCGAGGGGAAACGAUAUUGGAAGCUUGCUUCCGAUAGGCGUCGACCGGCGCACGGGUGAGUAACGCGUAUCCAACCUGCCCACCACUUGGGGAUAACCUUGCGAAAGUAAGACUAAUACCCAAUGAUAUCUCUAGAAGACCUCUGAAGGCGAUUAAAGAUUCAUCGGUGAUGGAUGGGGAUGCGUCUGAUUAGUUUGUUGGCGGGGUAACGGCCCACCAAGGCGACGGUCAGUAGGGGUUCUGAGAGGAAGGUCCCCCACAUUGGAACUGAGACACGGUCCAAACUCCUACGGGAGGCAGCAGUGAGGAAUAUUGGUCAAUGGGCGAGAGCCUGAACCAGCCAAGUAGCGUGCAGGAUGACGGCCCUAUGGGUUGUAAACUGCUUUUUUAAGGGAAUAAAGUGAGUCUCGUGAGACUUUUUGCAUGUACCUUAUGAAUAAGGACCGGCUAAUUCCGUGCCAGCCGCCGCCGUAA
rnacentral:rRNA from 1 species